rnacentral:rRNA from 1 species
GACGAACGCUGGCGGCGUGCUUAACACAUGCAAGUCGAACGGAAAGGCCCUGCUUUUGUGGGCUGCUCGAGUGGCGAACGGGUGAGUAACACGUGAGUAACCUGCCCUUGACUUUGGGAUAACUUCAGGAAACUGGGGCUAAUACCGGAUAGGAGCUCCUGCUGCAUGGUGGGGGUUGGAAAGUUUCGGCGGUUGGGGAUGGACUCGCGGCUUAUCAGCUUGUUGGUGGGGGAGUGGCUUACCAAGGCUUUGACGGGUAGCCGGCCUGAGAGGGUGACCGGCCACAUUGGGACUGAGAGACGGACCAGAGUCCUACGGGGGGCAGCAGUGGGGAAUAUUGCACAAUGGGCGGAAGCGUGAUGCAGCAACGCCGCGUGCGGGAUGACGGCCUUCGGGUUGUAAACCGCUUUCGCCUGUGACGAAGCGUGAGUGACGGUAAUGGGUAAAGAAGCACCGGCUAACUACGUG